rnacentral:rRNA from 1 species
GAUGAACGCUGGCGGCGUGCCUAAUACAUGCAAGUCGAGCGAACAGACGAGGAGCUUGCUCCUCUGACGUUAGCGGCGGAAGGGUGAGUAACACGUGGAUAACCUACCUAUAAGACUGGGAUAACUUCGGGAAACCGGAGCUAAUCCCGGCUAAUAUAUUUAACCGCAUGGUUCAAUAGUGAAAAACGGUUUUGCUGUCACUUAUAGAUGGAUCCGCGCCGCAUUAGCUAGUAGGUAAGGUAACGGCUUACCAAGGCAACGAUGCGUAGCCGACCUGAGAGGGUGAUCGGCCACACUGGAACUGAGACACGGUCCAGACUCCUACGGGAGGCAGCAGUAGGGAAUCUUCCGCAAUGGACGAAAGCCUGACGGAGCAACGCCGCGUGAGUGAUGAAGGUCUUCGGAUCGUAAAACUCUGUUAUUAGGGAAGAACAAAUGUGUAAGUAACUAUGCACGUCUUGACGGUACCUAAUCAGAAAGCCACGGCUAACUACGUG